UAUUAAAUUAAAAUGUACAAUAACGAGAUUUAUCGACCGAUGUUUGAUGCUUGACCGCUAAUGACAUACAAACGAAAUUACCAGCCGAUUGAAGAAUAUUAUAUACGGAAUGGCAAAAUCUAAUUGGCGUUGUAUACCUGAGGCAAGGCAAUGAAGUGACUGUGGUAAAACUAAUCAUAAUUGCCAGGUUUAUGCGUAACUGUCUUUUAAAAAAUGUAUGAAAUUUGGGUUAUGUCGUUGCUAAGGAAAUUCGAUUUUAAUAUUUAUACAAUGAUGCCCAAAAUUUUCGUAACUUUACAUAAAGAAAGAAAUCAAGGUUCAUUCGCCAAAUACCUUUAUUAUGCCCCCCUUCGAAGAAGAGGGGGUAUAUUGCUUUGCUCAUGUCGGUCGGUCGGUCGGUCCGUCCACCAGGUGGUUUCCGGAUGAUAACUCAAGAACGCAUACGCCUAGGAUCAUGAAACUUCAUAGGUAGAUUGAUCAUGACUUGCAGAUGACCCCUAUUGAUUUUGAGGUCACUAGGUCAAAGGUCAAGGUCACGGUGACCCGAAAUAGUAAAAUGGUUUCCGGAUGAUAACUCAAGAAUGCAUACGCCUAGGAUCAUGAAACUUCAUGGGUAGAUUGAUCAAGACUCGCAGAUGACCCCUAUUGAUUUUGAGUUCACAAGGUCAAAGGUCAAGGUCACGGUGACCCGAAAUAGUAAAAUGGUUUUCGGAUGAUAACUCAAGAACGCAUAUGCCUAGGAUCAUGAAACUUCAUAGGUAGAUUGAUCAUGACUCGCAGAUGACCCCUAUUGAUUUUGAGGUCACAAGGUCAAAGGUCAAGGUCACGGUGACCCGAAAUAGUAAAAUGAUUUUCGGAUGAUAACUCAAGAACGCUUUUGCCUAGGAUCAUGACACUUCAUAGGUACAUUGAUCGUGACUCGCAGAUGACCCCUGUUGAUUUUCAGGUCACUAGUUUAUUCUGUUUUCACACUGUCCAGUAAAGAGACUUACAAAUUGAAUUUUUGACACAUGUUCAUUCAUAAUGAUGUAUAAGCCUUUGUUUCUGUGCCAGUAAAUACUAUGUUUAUGGAAAUGACGUGAGAAUUCAACAUUUAAAAAACCAAUGUAAUAUGAUAUGUAAUAUUAUAUGGCAACAGGACAGUUGUGAUUUGCUGGGUCAAUUCUAUUUAGCUUGACCAUCCAUGCGGUUGAUAGCUUUGACAAACUGGUGGUCUGAAACAUUGAGAAAAUGUCACGAUUCACUGACAAUAAAUCUAACAUGUAAUUCUUGCUACGCAACUUGCAUUUAAUU